GGGAACAUGAUGGCCAGGUCUGUCUUUGUGCUUUAAAAGUCCUGUGCUCUGGCCCACCUGGGCUCCUCAAGGCAGAGCACGGUUUUCACUAUAAGGCAAGGAAAAAACAGGAAAGGAAAGAAACCAUGGAAGACCCAGAAAGGGGACAGAAAUGCUCCAGCAAAGUAGAGCCAGCCCGGGUUUAGUUUGUUGUGCUGUGGACAUGCUUGGGAACGAGGGAAGGGCCAUACCUAUCAUCUGUGCUGUGAACCGUACCGAGGAGAAGAACAGAUUCUUCCUUGGGAAACACUCCCACCCAACAGAACCAGGGAGACUGUCCCUCCGAGUCCAGGGAGAAGAGAGGUUCCUCAUCUCCCAGCACCGCUCAGUCACCACAGAACAGGGCACACCAUCCAGGCACGCCGUCCCACCAGCCCAAAGGGCAGCGACAGACUCUCAACACAGUCCAGUAACGUUCCGUUUUUCCUUCAAGAAAUAACUUCAAGGGAAGUUCGAACUCCUAAGAGAUCGAAUCAGGAUUAAUGCUAUGGCUUCCCCCCUUUACCUAAGCUCCUCCCAUGUCUUUAGUCCAGCUCUGGAGGGUGUGCCGGGUGCAGCCUGCGUGGGCUCUCUCUUCUGCUGGGCCGGGCGGUGCAAGGGCAGUCCAUGUCUGACCUGGGUCAACGCUGCUGGCUGCCAGCCAAGGGCCUGGCUUCUAGAGCCACUGGAGGGACCGUGAAAGAAUGUGUCAGCUCACACACUCAAAGACAGCCGAUCUCUCUCACCUCCGAAGAGCCUCAGGUGCCUUUCCUUUUCCGAAGGAGUCGAUAAUGUAGCUUCCUAAUCAGGACUUCCAUAUGUGCUACGAAGCCCCCCAGAUUUCACCUGACUUAGGAUGCUUUACUUAGUGUGACUGCAUUCUUUAUUAUAAUGUAUCUUAUUUAAGAAGGGGGCUGUAGCAUGAGGUAUAAGAAAUAGUAAAGCAGAAACUUGCAUGUUGCUUCAGAACAUUAUAGACGCCUCAGAGGCCCACAAGCAACCUCUGUGAUUAUAUCCCCAUCCCUCUACAUGAAAUUCUAAUGUAGUUUUGCAAUCUAUAUAUAACUUUGAAAAGUACAUAAUGCUGAAAACUCUAGGAGAAGUUUCCUAAGGAUGCUAUAAUUAUAAUUUCUAUUAACGGCAGUUCUCAAAAUGAUAAAAGAAUCAAGGAAACCUUAAAAGUUCUCCUCGUUCCCCUUCAUUCCUUCCCUAUUCUGCCCCUACCCCUUGGGGAGUUGUCUGGAGGGCAGGAAGCAUGGUAAUACUCCCCAGAGCUUAUAAUAGACAUUGGUGCUCCCCAAAUAUUAACAUGUUAAUACGCCCAACCACUUUGUGGGGGAGGCACCAUGAUCACCUCCCUCUGAGGCAUGGGGACGUGAAACCUAGAAACUGUGCAAGUGGGCAGAGGCUAUGAACCCAGGCCAGCCAGUUGCAGCACUCAUGCUCUUGGCCACUACGCUAUGUUGUGAUUCUCCGAGAUCUUGGUCUAUUUUUCAAUUAGGAAUGGGCUGUUUUUUCCCCGAAGAGACAUGGAUUUCCUUCCUCAUGAAUCCUUCUGGGUGGAGAGUCCACCUUUCCCUUCCCCACGCUUCCUCCCCACUUACCCUGCAGGUAACAGUGUUCACCCUGUGAGGUGACUUCCUUUCAAAUAUUAGCCAGCCCCACCUUCUAACAGUUACCUGCCCUGGUGCUUUCAGUGCCUCCGUGAAAGUUUAUCCCACUCCCCUGUGACUUAUGAGAGGGACAUUUCCUGGAAAUCUUGUGGAUGGACAUGUCACUGUGAUGAGGUGUUCAGAGUGUCUGAAUCACUCCUGUUGCCUGGCAACCUGUUUGUGUUUGGCCGGAGGCAGGUGACUCAGACACAGGUACACCCAGACACAGGGCAGAUAUGUACUCGGCACGACCGCCGAGUUCAUGUGUAACUUGGACACUGUUCUUUCACGUGUGCUGUUAGCAGGGGCGCCGUCAAUCCUUUCCAGUCAGGGAAUUCAAAACGCAGGACGCUGUGCGGGGCAUCAACAAAUCCCUUAUCGCAGAAAUACAGGCUACGUUAUUUUCCCUGCCGAGUUCUGAAGAAAAACUUUAAGACCAAAGUAAUUACAAAAUUCUUACAUAUGGAAGUGAACUGAAAUUAUCGGCUGGCAUGGAAGUUACUUUCCAUCCCUCUGAGAAUUAGUUCAUGAAUUCCGUGAAUAUAACAUAUUCCUAAACAGCACUGAGUCACUUGUUUUGACCUCAUACUUAAGAAUUUUUUUCAGGCAAACAGGGUUGACUCAUUUGGCCACACUCGCAGCCAGAAAACCUUUUACACAUAUACACAUACCUGGUAUUUUACCUGAAAGAACUGAUGACCAAAUAUAAGAGGCUUCAGAAUAGAAGGGAUUCACUCUCCAAUACCCACAUGAAUAGAGAGAUGUCAGAGUGGGCCUGAGGUCACCUCACUGGUUUCUGUCUUCAAAUUUAAGUUAGCAUGUGUGCCUACGUCACUCCAGAAGCCAACACAUUCUAGAAUAAAGCACCAUGGACUUUAUUUCCCCUAAUAUUUUAGGGACCCACCAUUGUUUCCUACUGAUGUCUGUUUUUUAAAUAUUCAAAGGAGAAAAAGUGGUUUUGAAACAAACAUACACACAUACCAGAGAGUGGGUUUUUUUUGCCCUUCUUUUCAGACACGCCUGCUCAAGACAUAGAAAGUAAGACCCAAGAAUGUACCUAAAUGGUACCUCUAAUCUUGGUGGGAAAGUCUUGAAUCCUAAAUUUAUUUAAUGCUUAUGGACUGAAGGAACAAACAUAGUUUAGGAAGUUGUUUUUUUUCUUCCCUGCGUCAAAUAAUAUUCAUCCUAACAGAUGGGUUCCAGUAUGCCUAUUAUCUAUAAGUACUAUUAAAAGUCUAAUACACAAUAUAAAUUUUACUUUGUUCUUGACAGCUGUAAAAGGGGUAUGUAAGUAUACUUAGCAAAGAUUUUCAUCUUAAACAUAUGUUAAAACUUAAUUUUCUCCAACUUUUUUUUGAAAGGCAUAUUUUAUGGGAAAAAAAAAAUAUUUCCAUGUCUAAAAACUUCUUGAAGUCAGCCAGCUAAACUCCACAGCUGACUUAAGAAAAAGGUGUUCUCGUUAUCUAGAAUUGGCUGACUGGUUACAAUUACCCCUGGCAAGCAAUUCUCCAAAGUAUUUGUAAGUCCUUAACCAUGCCUGAAGUAGGUUCUCCUAAUUUGGGGUUCAUAGUUGAUAAGUGAACCGGUGGAGUGCUAUAACAUGUUUGGGCUUGUACAUAUAACGGGAUAGUAAGCUCUGUUCCUCGGUUUCCCAAAACAGAGUUAUUUUUGGGAAUGAAGCUGCCAGCAGAAAGCUUAGGAUUUAAGUUCAUAAAUUUGUUGCUGACCAUCUGCUUCAUGCAAGUUUCAAUCACAGAAGAACAUUCGUUGUGGUCAGGAGAACAAAACAGGCCUUUGUCCCUGUCCCCGCAGAGCCUGUGGUCUAGUUGGAGAAACAAAUAACUAUAAUACAAGGAGAUAAAUGUUUGGAGAAUUAAAACCAAGACUCUAGGAACACACUGCAAAGGCACACCCCGUAGUUUGGGAAGGUCAGGUAAGGUUUCCUAGGGGAGAGGGCCUCUUUAAGUCAGAUCUGAAAAGUGAAAGAGUCAGGCAGUGGGGUGGGGUUAUUUAAGACAGAGAAAUAGUAUGCGCAGAGGCCCUACGCAACAAAGGAGAAUGUGGUCUGUAUAAACGAGAACAGAAGGAAGGUCAGCUUGGCUGAAGUGGAGAGGCAGGCUCUUAAAGAACCUGAUAAGGCCCUUUUAUGAUAUUUGGAUUUUGCCCCCAGGAUAAUGGGAUCAGGGAGUGACACGGAUCAGUUUUGUAUUUUGUUAUGAUCCCACUUAGGAUUCCUGACUCUGAGAAACUAAGGAAAUGAGCGUGUCUUACACUCAGCAGAAAACGAUCAGGUCACCCCUGUCCUCAAGGGUAAAUGUACAAGGUUCUUCAUGUAAUCAAUUUCCUGUAGCACCAGUGAGAUGUUACCAUGUGACCCAGGAGAGCAGAGCGGCUAAGCGCUCAGCCUGUGAAGACAGAUGACUGAAAUUCAAACUCUCUCAGUUCUACCCAACACUUAACUUUGGGCAAGUCCCGAAACCCUCUACAUCUCAAAGUGGACUUGAAAGUAGUUACCUCCUAAGACUGCCCUGCAAACAAAGCUCCUUGUGAACCAGUAAGAACACAGCUGCCGUAAUGCCCUCAGUCUCGUCAUUAUCAUCACGGAGGCCAGUCAACCACGCACAGGCAUUACCGACCACUGCUUUAGACUACACUCGAUAUUUUUAAAUCAUAUAAUCACUUUUCUUUAGAAGCCAUCUAAUUUCUAUAGGAAAAGUAGCUUACAGAAAUAAGUCUUUGCGUUUAACACUUAGCAGUUUUCCAUUUGAAUAUUUUAACACUGAAACUGGGAUGCUAAGAAAAUACAAUUUUUUUAAAAUAAGCUUUAUUUCAAUCUUGGGGCCUUAUGCCCUAUUCGGACAAAGAUCUGCUAUCCUAAGUGAAGUUUCUAGGACUAUUUGCAGAUAAGCUUCCGAAUCAGAGCAUAGUUAGAAGUCAGACUGCCUAACUAAACUUCUAGGGCCAUGAGUGUAAGGGAAUUUGAAUAAAUCCAAUUAUCUAAUAAUCAGAUUAUAGAAAAUUCAAACGAGAAAUAUUUAAGCCUAAAUAGAGACAUGGAGAGGACCAAAGGACCAGUUGUGGAUUCACCAUCAAACGUAAAACCCCCCACUAUCCACAGCCUUCUUGCUGCCUUUAUUUGUUAGAUGUAAAUGUUAACUCACUGUCCAGAAAUCUGAGGAACUACACAUUUUACAACAGAACACAGACUACAAGUCAAGAUAUAAUGCCAAAGGUUAAUUAACUGCAUUCUAAAAAAUAUUUGUGUCACUCACCACUAAUACUUCAGACAGACAGGAUAUUAAAAUCUUUGCAGAGCUGAUUGAGUCGGGGUCCAAGACCACUCCCAGUUCAAUGAUUCACGAGGACUCACAGGACCCUGCCUAUAGCCGUAUUCAUGGCUAUGAUUUGUUACAGCAAGAGGAUACAAAUCAGCAAAGAAAAAAAAGGCCCCCCAUGGGAUAAAAUGCAGAGGCAAUCAGGAGCAAAUGUCCAAGAGUCCUGUCCCAGGAGAAUCACACAGGUUGUGCUUAAUUUCCUAGCACUGAGUUGUGACAGUACCUGUGAAAUACUGUCUACCAGGGAAGCUCAUUAGUGACCCAGCGUCUAGGGUGUCUUUCGGGCUGGUCACACAGAAACCUGCCGUUGGGCAUGUACCCAAACCCCAUACUCCUGGAAUGCAAGCAGGUAUUCAACAGAAACUGUCUUGUUGGUACAGUUUAGGCACCGUGAGCCACGCUGAUGAGGGAAUGGUAGUAACCCUCCCCAAAUCGAAGUUCCCAGACACCAGCCAAGGGCCAAGGAUGCAAGCAGGCCUUUCAAAGAGAGCAAUCACAGGCCUGCUGUGUUAACUCAUAUUUGUGUACUGUUCUGUUUCAAUCAGCAAUGUAAGACCAAAUUAAGGAGAAAGGUCUUACUUUUAGCAGUUCACUCAGGUACAUGAGCCUGAGAAGCACUCUUAUCCUACAUAUUUUCAGUAUUUAAAAUGUAGCAUUUUUAAUGUGGACAACCAUGGUCUUGAAUUACAUAAAAGAAAAUUAAAGAUGGUCUUUUGUACAACAAAAGAAAAGCUGACUUCUACUCCUGUUUACUUUUCUGAGCAUCCUCUUUUAUAAAAUACCACCGAAAAUUCCAAACAAACAGUGUUCCUAAACUGAAACUACUCUCAGAAACCAUUUAGCCUACCAGAUUAGCGAUAAAAUUCAGACCCCAAUAACAGCUACCCUCAUAAGCUUCUAGCAGGGCUGGAAAUAAGAAAAUAUCCCUCUGGGAGGCAAUCUGAUAAGAUACCUUAUCAAAAUUAUACAUAUGCCUUAUGACCUGCAAUUCUGCUCUGCAAAUGUAUACAUGUAAUAAUUGUGUAUAUGCAGAAUAACGCAUGUACAAAGUUAUUUAUUGCGGCAUUGUUUAAGAGCAAAGGACUGGCCACAACCCAAAUGUCCAUCAAUAGGUCACUAUUUAAAUUGUGGUACAUCCAUACAAUGGACUACUCUGUAACUGCUGAGGAAAAAAAAGAAUGAGGAAGCUCUCUUAGUGCUGAUUUGUUAAACCCUUCUACGUAUAUUCAGAGAAAAACAUACAUUGCACAGAAGUACAUUUACCUUAUGAAAACAGCACAUAUGAAUACAAAUCGUGUACAGAGAAACUCUGGAAGGAUGCAUCAGACACUGAUAACAGGCUGGGAGAGGGCAGUGGAGGCAGAAUUUGGGCAUGAUCUGUGAACCUAAAAAAAUAUAUUAAAAGGACACACUUGACAAGUGAUACGUCUUUCUUUUCAAAGUCCAGGUUAUAUCAAGCUGGCACCUUUUUGCAUGUGUGGAUCAUUUUACAAGGCUUCUGUAAUUUCUGUGGUGGUUAAAUGAGAGCAUAAGAUCGCUUUAUCUUGUUUCCAGAUUGGGUUUCCACCCUCUUCCUUUCUGAGGAGCCUGCCUGUCAGCUUGAAGGGGGUUUCCCCAGGACACCUGACAGUCAAUAAAGUUCUCUGUGCCUCCCUUUGCCCAUUUGCCUGCUGAGGAAAUUUGGGAACUUCUUAAAAGCUCCAUUUCUGAAAGCAGGGAUUUUGUUUUGUUCACUGCCUUAUUCGCAACACUGAACAGAGUGCCUGGCACACAGAAAUUGCUCAGUAAGUAUUUGUUGAAUAAAUGAGUUCUUUUCUUCAUCCAGCUUCAAUGGAACAGACACUACCAGACAAAGAGGGAGAUAUCAUUGGGGUCAAAUAUUCAGAAAUAGCUGUCAUUCCUAGUAUUUGCUCUAUAUAGGCAUUCUAAUCUGAGCAACAUUCCUAGAAUUAUUUUGAAUCUUACAGAAGACAAACAAAUAAGCCUAUAGAAUGCUGUGCUGAACAAUGGCUCUUAAAUAUUCAUAAAAUUUUUAUUUUUAAUUAACUUGGGAUUACAAGACCCUGGAGUACAUCUUAGGACUUAAGUCUUUUUAGGCAAACACCACAUUAAUUAGUAAUGAUAAAAAAGAAUGGCUGUUAGAAGAGUCAAAUGAGCCCCCAGUCAUAAGGUGCCCAUAAGCUGUAUAGAAGAGAAAAUAUUUUGCAUUAAAAAUGUAACUGCUGGGGCACGUGGGUGGCAAGGUCAGGUAAGCCUCAGACUCUUGGUGUUGGCUCAGGUU